CGACCGCAUCAAAUUGCAUUUAUAGCUUUUAUGAAGAAAUUGUUUGAAACAGCUAUCAUAGUCUGGUCCCUACCAGAAUGACCUCUAAGCACAUGAACACGGUUCACGACUUCUCUGGCAAGCUUUUCUUCUACACAGGCGGGUACCUACAUCACUCUGUGUUUUUUUGCAAGGGUCCUGACGGAUCUGUUUUAAAAAAAAACUGGUACACUGGGAGGAUACAAUCUUCUGGGGGCUGUCCCAGGAGUAUCCGUUUUAUAGGGCCAAAAACGGGAUCACAAUCCUGAUCCUUAGAAAUCCGCUUGUAAAGGUCGUCAUAUUCAGCACCACUCGUAACGUUCACAUUACUGCAAUAAGUGUUCUUAUCACAACGGGAU
rnacentral:lncRNA from 1 species